GACGAACGCUGGCGGCGUGCUUAACACAUGCAAGUCGAACGGUAAGGCCUUCGGGUACACGAGUGGCGAACGGGUGAGUAACACGUGGGUGAUCUGCCCCCUACUCUGGGAUAAGCCUGGGAAACUGGGUCUAAUACCGGAUAUGACCUCCUGCUUCAUGGUGGGUGGUGGAAAGUUUUUUCGGUAGGGGAUGAGCCCGCGGCCUAUCAGCUUGUUGGUGGGGUAAUGGCCUACCAAGGCGACGACGGGUAGCCGGCCUGAGAGGGCGACCGGCCACACUGGGACUGAGACACGGCCCAGACUCCUACGGGAGGCAGCAGUGGGGAAUAUUGCACAAUGGGCGAAAGCCUGAUGCAGCGACGCCGCGGGGGGGAUGACGGCCUUCGGGUUGUAAACCCCUUUCAGUCGGGACGAAGCGCAAGUGACGGUACCGAUAGAAGAAGCACCGGCCAACUACGUGCCAGCCGCCGCAGUAAAAC
rnacentral:rRNA from 1 species